CUCUUGGAUGCCCUGGUGAAGCCAACAACUGUGAGUACUAUUCAUUGCUCAGGAUAUCAGGAGGGAAGAGAUUCAGUGACAUGGGGCAAUAACGAAGCAGAUAAAGUGGCUCGAAAAAUGGUUAUGCAGGAGCCCAUCCUGGUUGCAGGCCUGCAAGAGACAGCCACUGGGAACUGGGAUCGGACUAAGGGAUGGCCUCACUUAGAAAAGGCCCAAAUUGCUUAAAAGAUAAAGGACAAUGGCACAUUGAGGGGAAAGCUAUACUUCCCAGAGAACAAAGAAAAGACUCACUUUGCCAAAUACAGAAAUGGACUCAAUUAGGAGAUAAAAAGUUUGUCCAAGUAGUUAAGUGUAUGUAAUAGACUUUAAGAUUUUAGCCAGAGAGACAGUAGAAAGUAUAAGGUAUGUCAAUAAGUGAAUGCUUAGCAAGCAAACAGGGCAAAGAGACCUAGAGAGUUUGGUGAAAAGUCGAAGUGAACUUCACUGAGAUAAAACCAGAAAAAUAUAAUCACAAGUAUCUCCUAGUGCUUGUAGAUACUUUUUCAGGAAUAGAUAGAAGCUUUCCUCACCAAACAAGAGACGGCCUCUGCAAUCAUCAAGAAGAUACUGGAAGAAAUCUUCCUCCGAUUUGGAAUGCCCAAGGUAAUCUGGUCAGACAACGGCCCUACUUUCGUUGCCAAGGUAAGCCAGGGUGUGGCCAAGUAUUUAGAGGUCAAUUGGAAAUUACAUUGUAUUUACAGACCUCAAAGUUCAGGACAGGUAGGGUAAAUAAAUAGAACUCUAAAAGAGACCCUGACCAAAUUAACCAUGGAGACUGGCACAGACUGGGUGACACUCCUUCCCUCUUGCUCUCUUCAGAGCAAGAAAUACCCCUUCCAGAUUCAGCCUUACCCCCUUUGAGAUCUUAUAUGGGGCCUCAGCCCCCCUGACUGUAUUAGAUGAUGUUACUGAACCAACAUGUCAUAGUGCCAUAGUAAUAAUGAUUUGUGUGCCAGGCUAAAAGACCUACAGGUGAUACAGAAAGAAAUCUGCUCACAGCUGACAGCAGCCUAUGCCCCGGAGACCCCUGAGACAUCCCAUCAGUUCCAGGUUGCAGCUACACUGAGUCCAGACACUCGAGCCUCGCUGGAAAGGACCGUACCUGGUGCUGCUGACCACCCUGACAGCUGUCAAUUCUCAGCCCUCACCAGCCGUGUACUAGCUGUUGGGGCUGAGAGCUGGGACCUAGAGGGAAAUUCAGUCAUGUUUGUCCUGGGUUCUAUCAAGAUAGGUGUGGGAUAGGCUUGAUUUCCAUUACAAAUGAUGUAACAUUGCAUAUGUUAGUACUCUUAACACUUCUUGGGACUGUGCCUCAGGGAUCACAGUCCGUAUAAGCUUAGAAGUUCUAAAAGCUAGUCAUGACCUUGGUGUGCAGGUUUAGAUAGUGUCCAGGUUAGAAUCCUCAUGUUAAGACUACAAUACCAAGCUGUUAUGCUAGAUGAAGCUGAGUUCUCCAUGAAGUUCUAGGAUUAGAACUAUUAACAA
rnacentral:lncRNA from 1 species